rnacentral:rRNA from 1 species
AGCGAACGCUGGCGGCGUGCCUAACACAUGCAAGUCGAACGUGAAAGGGAGCAAUCCCCAGUAAUGUGGCGUACGGGUGAGUAACACGUAGGUAAUCUACCCCAGACUCUGGAAUAACCGGCCGAAAGGCUGGCUAAUACUGGAUAGAGCGACGGAAUCCGUAAUUGGGUUUUUCGGGAAAGGGAGCCUGUUAAAAGGCCUUCGUUCUGGGAUGAGCCUGCGCCCCAUCAGCUAGUGGGUGAGGUAAAGGCUAACAAAGGCAAGGAGGGAUAGCUGGUCUGGAGGACUGACCGCCACACUGGAACUGGAACACCGUCCAGACUCCUAAGGGGGGCAAGAGGUGGGAAUCCUUCGCAAAUGACGGAAGGCUGACGGGGCAACGCCGGCGUGAUGAAGAAGGCUUUCGGGUUGUAAAAAUCUGGCGAGUAGGAAAAAACAGCUGGGAGAGCAAAGCUCCACGAACUGACGGUACCAAUAAAGAAAGCACCGGCUAACUCCGUG